CUCCAUAUCUUCCCACAGCUUUAUUGAACCGCAAAGGCUUCAUCAUCCCCCUCCAGUAGAGGCCAUAGGGUGCUUCAUUAUAUGCAGUUCAAGAAAGCUGUGGAAAAACACGAACA
rnacentral:miRNA from 1 species